AUCAACACCUGCCAGUGAAACCACAGGGAGGGGAGCAGGCGCGUGGACGGUCCCAGACCCAGCGCUCGAGAAGAACUCCACCUUCCCGGGUAUAGAAGCCGCCCAUGUCUCAUACGCAGCCUGUGCUCGAGACGUCAGAACCUGAGGUAAAAUGAGCCAAGAGGACGCUGUGAAUCCGAGAAAGACGCCAAAGAUCACGGUCGUCCACGAUCUUCUGGACUUAACAGCCAUUUCGUAUCCUACGAAGAGUACAGUUCUGCGGUUAACGGGGACUAAAUGUAUGAUUGCUGACGCUGUAAGGGUGGUGCUAAUCUGUGAAGCACACUAUUCCUAUGGAGCACUAGUGUCUGACUGAUGUGGAAGACGAAGUUUCCGUUUUAGUAGCAUAAGGCACGCAACGGGGCAUUUCCUUCACAACAUUAAGAAACAUGUUAGCCUGUCCCCAGCCGUUCCAGGACGUCUGUACUGAAUAUUUGUAUUUCAGUUUCUUUGGGGGUUAAAUGAUUUUGUCCUCAUCUGGGACCGCUAUCUUGUCGUCAUUCUGUCGUCCAUCAACAAAAACAAAUUCACUUCCAGUCGUAUUUCCUUUUCAGAAUAAAAGCAAAUGUCCAUAAACUUGCAGCAAUAGUUGUUUUGUUUUUUUGUUCGUUUUAAUAACAACCAA